rnacentral:rRNA from 1 species
CCUACGGGAGGCAGCAGUAGGGAAUCUUUCACAAUGAGCGAAAGCCUGAUGGAGCAACACCGCGUGGGUGAAGAAGGUCUUCGGAUCGUAAAGCGCUGUUGUAAGAGAAGAAAGUGCGUGAGAGUAACUGUUCACGUUUCGACGGUAUCUUACCAGAAAGCCACGGCUAACUACGUGCCAGCAGCCGCGGUAAUACGUAGGUGGCAAGCGUUAUCCGGAUUUAUUGGGCGUAAAGGGGACGCAGGCGGUCUUUUAAGUCUGAUGUGAAAGCCUCGGGCUUAACCCGAGUAGGGCAUUGGAAACUAGGAGACUAGAGUGCAGAAGAGGAGAGUGGAACUCCAUGUGAAGCGGUGAAAUGCGUAGAUAUAUGGAAGAACACCAGUGGCGAAAGCGGCUUACUGGGUUGUAACUGACGCUGAGGGUCGAAAGCGUGGGUAGCAAACAGGAUUAGAUACCCGGGUAGUC